AUUGAACGCUGGCGGCAGGCCUAACACAUGCAAGUCGAGCGGUAGCACAGGAGAGCUUGCUCUCCGGGUGACGAGCGGCGGACGGGUGAGUAAUGUCUGGGAAACUGCCUGAUGGAGGGGGAUAACUACUGGAAACGGUAGCUAAUACCGCAUAACGUCGCAAGACCAAAGAGGGGGACCUUCGGGCCUCUUGCCAUCAGAUGUGCCCAGAUGGGAUUAGCUAGUAGGUGGGGUAACGGCUCACCUAGGCGACGAUCCCUAGCUGGUCUGAGAGGAUGACCAGCCACACUGGAUCUGAGACACGGUCCAGACUCCUACGGGAGGCAGCAGUGGGGAAUAUUGCACAAUGGGCGCAAGCCUGAUGCAGCCAUGCCGCGUGUAUGAAGAAGGCCUUCGGGUUGUAAAGUACCUUCAGCGGGGAGGAAGGUGUUGAGGUUAAUAACCUCAGCAAUUGACGUUACCCGCAGAAGAAGCACCGGCUAACUCCGUGCCAGCCGCCGCAGUAACAC
rnacentral:rRNA from 1 species